rnacentral:rRNA from 1 species
GACUGUGCAAACCGACGGGACCUAACCCGUAGCCUUAAGUAAGGAGUUAAGGUAUACAGACUUUGCAAUACAUUUGGUUUAGGGCUGAACCUUCGGCAGUAAGCGGUUUAGGAGAGCGGGGACUGCGGGAGCAGAGGAAGCUGGUAGGGGUGGGUGCUCUAGACGGCGGCGGCGGGUCAGUUCUCCUCGGCCCGGCAGCCUCAGGUAGAGGUGGUCGUCACGUAGGAACUUAGGUAGGUCCGGUUCCCUGGGGUAGCUCGAGUAGAGGGGUUGCGUGACUGCAUGGAGCAGCAGGUUCUGGUCACCGCAGAAGGGGAGUUAGCGCGGGAAGCGACUUGCGGGGACAGCCGCUGAGGAGGCAAGAGAGAAUUAAGGAGUAGCGAUAAUGGCAGAGGUCAACGACAGAGGUGAGGGGCCAGAAGUUAGAAGACGAACCUCCAUACUCGUUAGAAACCGAACCACCAUACUCAGCCGAACUUACCGGAAAGUACCGGUAACCAAGCUGUCGGUAUACAAUCAUGAUCAUCACAUUAUUUAAUCAACCAAAGAAUUAAUCACAGUCACUCGUACCCGUAAUGACUAACUAUUUUAAUAGAGACGAGGAGAACAAAUAGACUACUGCUUCCGUACCUUACAUCGUCACACUUAUAAAGUCAAGAAGCUUUGACUUAGGUCUGUAGAUGACAAAGCACUAAUAACAUUCUUUCGUACACGAUCAAUUUAUAGAUCAAGAGACUUUGAAUUUCACACGAUUCUAAGGUCACUACACGUCCGAACAUGCAUUCUAGUUCACUCUUAAAAAAGGAAAGUAAGUAUGAAAAACAACUGUGGUCUGGUGUUCACAGGGGAGACUUUUACUACACAGGAACACUA